UCGGCCUGUCUGUCUGUCUGUCUGUCUGUCUGUGUGAUCGAAACACCAAAUCAAAGAUUUCAAUUGGUUGGCACCUAAGUACUCGAAAGUUAACUGGUCUCAUGAUACGAUACGAACAUUUCACGUUUUAUGUUACCAUUAAUACCAAAUGCAGGAUUGAUUGAGAUUUUUUUUGUAUGUCUGUUGUAUUCAUUUUCGUAUAAAGCUGGGGAAAAUAAUUCCUUAAUAUAGCAAUGAAAAUG
rnacentral:lncRNA from 1 species